CCUACGGGAGGCAGCAGUAGGGAAUCUUGCGCAAUGGGCGAAAGCCUGACGCAGCCAUGCCGCGUGAAUGAUGAAGGUCUUAGGAUUGUAAAAUUCUUUCACCGGGGACGAUAAUGACGGUACCCGGAGAAGAAGCCCCGGCUAACUUCGUGCCAGCAGCCGCGGUAAUACGAAGGGGGCUAGCGUUGCUCGGAAUUACUGGGCGUAAAGGGAGCGUAGGCGGAUAGUUUAGUCAGAGGUGAAAGCCCAGGGCUCAACCUUGGAACUGCCUUUGAUACUGGCUAUCUUGAGUACGGGAGAGGUGUGUGGAACUCCGAGUGUAGAGGUGAAAUUCGUAGAUAUUCGGAAGAACACCAGUGGCGAAGGCGACACACUGGCCCGUUACUGACGCUGAGGCUCGAAAGCGUGGGGAGCAAACAGGAUUAGAUACCCUGGUAGUCCACGCCGUAAACGAUGAGUGCUAGUUGUCGGCAUGCAUGCAUGUCGGUGACGCNGCUACGACAUAAGUACACUCCGCCGUCGGGAGGUACGGUCGCGAGAAGUUAAACGUUAAAUAAGUAAGUUAGUUACGGCGUGAGAGUGCCGACGGACGACGACGAGGGAGGAGG
rnacentral:rRNA from 1 species